CAGUCAUUGCAGUUCUGGAUUGGGAGGCGGGGAUAUCCUCCUCCUGGCUCUGGGAGCCUCCUGCCUCACCUGGAAGGAUGCUCAGUCGGGUAAUACUUUACGCACCGCAAAUUAUCAUGUGUUAGGGGGUGGGGGUGGGGCCAGGAAGCUGGGACUCCAAAACGGGUGGCUGAAUCCACAAGAAGCCGUGAACCUCGGAGAGGAUACAGGGAGAGGGAGCUGGAAUGGACGGAGCCCGCUUGGAAAAGUUGUUUGGGUGCAUCCAGGAGCCAAGGCUGCUGAGGAAAUUGCAGGACGAGGUGCAGGAGGGAUGAGCGAGGGCAUAGGCAGGAACCCAGGACCUUAGGGGUCGUCUUCUGCGAAAAGAAAACAGCGAGUUGAUCGCCUCCUGUUUGGAAAUUUGUCGGGCUGUACAGAUGUGUCCUAGGUGCAAACUGGAGAUGGACGGAGAACGGGGAGUUGGUCGCAUCCCUUCUCCUUUAUUGGGAUGUUUUACUCAGCGGUGAGUCCCGGCGCAGCGUGGCUGGUUCAGCAUCCGUGAGGUACAGCUAAGAAAAAGCCUCUUUUAUCCAUGGUGGCUUCCUGACCCAAAGUCGGUUGCACUGUGACUCUCGGAAGGGGAAGGGUCUAAACCCAGAUUCAUUUUCUCAGCAUCAGGGUCCUGGCCCCGCCCAUCACCAGUCACCUGUGUGGAUGAAGAAGGAACUGAACUUCCCGAAGAGCCCUUGCUCCUGGAAGCCCGUCGCCCUAUCCAUCCCACCUUCGUACCCGGAGUGUUAGGGAAAAUUAAGGGUCCGGUUGGAGACACAGUACCGCCACUGGCACUUUCUCUAGACCUGCUGUCUGCGUCAUCCUCGUCUUUAUGUGGGUCACAGGCGGCGCUACCAAGCUGGGGCUGGAGUCCCGGAGCAAGUGGCCUGCUGGGGAACUCUUUCCUGCCUCGCAUAGGAGCCUGUCAGAUUCGGGACAAAGAAUCAUAGUCUCAGCCCUGUGUCGAUCCCUGAAAAAAAAGUUACAAACGCCCUGAAAAGUUCAGCGACGCUGCAAAGUUGCCUGAGGAUCCUCCUUCAGGUCACAUUUUUCAGACUCGGCUAUUUUCUAGCUUGCUAGUGGCUAUGGACGCUCUCACAGGCAAAGUGACAUUUGUCCUACUGCCAGCGAAGCUGACUCCCCGGCUUUAUAUAUUUACAAUUCCUUCAGUGAAUAACACAUCAAAAAGCCAGCCAGCUCCCCUUCUACACCUGGACCAUGAUUCAUUGAAAUGCUGGAGACUCUAGGCCUCUGGUGUCCCGUGGAUAGAUGAGACCAGCAAAGAAUUCCAGAGAAGCGAGAGUGAAUUCAAGAACUGAGGACCGAACCCAGGCCCACCCCCCACCCCGGUGGUCCUGGAUGCUGGUGCUGCGGAUCAAGGCAGAGCUUUCCUGCGAUCCGCGUUGGACCGCGCCCCACUCCUCCUAGAUUCUGAGACCAACUCAAUUAUUCUUGUUUCUUAUCUUGAACUCUUGAUUUGAACACGUGAAUUUCAAGCUGCUGUUUCUAAAAGGAAAACCAGGCAGGGACAUUCAGCUUGCUGAGAAUCAGGAGAAGCGGGGAAUGACAGUCUGACAUCUGGAAACCCCCUUCCGCUUACACUUGCUGUUGACACCAAAAUGGCCAUAAGCUUGGCGAGGUCUCAGCAGGGAGACAGUGGCCGGAGGUCCUGCAGAACCCAUGUGAAAAAUCCAGGUGUCAUGGUGUACCUUUGUAACCCCAGCGCUGCAGACAGGUGGAUCCCUGGGGCUCGCUUGUCAGCCAACCUACCCUGUCACAAAAACCAAGACAGACGGCUUCCUGAGGAGCAACCUCUGGCCUCCACACACAGGUUUUGUUAAAAAAAAAAAAAAAAAUGGUGUGAGAUCGCACAGAACUGACCCUCGGAUGCCUCAGCCUGCAGUUGGAAAGGGGACUCUAUGUCAAGACCUGCAGGCCUAGAAACAUGCUGAUGACUUGUGCAAUUCUAUGUGGAGCGAUUGGUUACCCAGCAGUAUCUCACUCAUGAGCAAAUCUUGAUCUAUACUUUCUCCAGUAUCUUUUUACCCCAUGUAAACCUGGUGGAUAAACAGGUUGUAACAUGAAUGUUAUAAUGGGCAGACAUGUGUUUAUCAUUCAAUACAUUUCGAAUCUAAUUAAAGGGAUGGAAGCCAUUUAAAAAAAUCUCAGUUCUAAUUUCUGAUGAUGAAAAUUGAUGAAUGAGGUGAAAUAUAUAACAGUUAAAUGGACACACACACACACACACACACACACACACACACACGGCAGAAUUGAAGAGAAUAAACUUGAGCACAUAAUGACAUACAUCUUCCAACAUGAAACUCAAGCAAGUUUAUAGUCAGAGAUGCAUGGAAGUAAACUCUGCAACCAUUCCAGAGAGAGACGCGGAAGAAAUGGAAAUUGGGAUGUUUGGAGAAAAAAAAUAAUACCCAGAAAAUGUUCCACUUGAAUGAAAAUAAUGAAUUCAAAAUCUAAAAAGACUAAUGCACUUGAAGUUCAAAAAGCAUGACAUCUUUAUGAGGCUCAUCAUAAUGAAGUUUGAACCAGCCAUAAAAAAGAAAAAAAAACAAAACAUGGAAGCAGCUGGCUGGUGUCCUCAUGUAUGUUCCCCUGGACAGCUCGACAGCAGAUUUAUCACUGAAAUGUUGCAAACCAAAAAAAAAAAAAAAAAA